rnacentral:rRNA from 1 species
UACGGAGGAUCCAAGCGUUGUCCGGAUUUAUUGGGUUUAAAGGGUGCGUAGGCGGACUAUUAAGUCAGUGGUGAAAUCUUGCAGCUUAACUGUAAAAGUGCCAUUGAAACUGAUAGUCUUGAGUGUGGUUGAGGUAGAUGGAAUGUAUCAUGUAGCGGUGAAAUGCUUAGAUAUGAUACAGAACACCAAUUGCGAAGGCAGUCUACUAAGCCAUUACUGACGCUAAGGCACGAAAGCGUGGGGAGCGAACAGG